rnacentral:rRNA from 1 species
UACGUAGGGUGCGAGCGUUAAUCGGAAUUACUGGGCGUAAAGCGUGCGCAGGCGGUUUUGUAAGCCAGAUGUGAAAGCCCCGGGCUUAACCUGGGAAUGGCAUUUGGGACUGCAAGGCUAGAGUGUGGCAGAGGAGACUGGAAUUCCUGGUGUAGCAGUGAAAUGCGUAGAUAUCUGGAGGAAUACCGGUGGCGAAGGCGGCAUCCUGGACCGACAUUGACGCUGAGGAGCGAAAGCUAGGGGAGCAAACGGG